GUGCUCGUUUCGGCAGCACAUAUACUAAAAUUGGAAUGAUACAGAGAAGAUUAGCAUGGCCCCUGCGCAAUGAUGACAUGCAAAUUCAUGAAGCAUUCCAUAUUUUU
rnacentral:snRNA from 1 species